rnacentral:lncRNA from 1 species
CUCCUUCUGUCAACUUUAAUCACAAAGAUGAAGCCCCGUUACUUCAGAAAAUCAAUUCUACCAUCACAAUUUAAACUGGAGUCAAAUUUUUUCCAACCAGUCCAAUCUGAUCUGACUUUUACACAAUAUAGCUUCUUGUUUCAUUUUGAUUAAAAUUGGAUGUAAAUUCCCUAAGGAUCCUUAGGGUCAUCCAGGCAAUAGUUUAUUGAUACAAUAAAUGGGUUUGGGCAGUUUCAACCAAAGAAGCUAUAGUUACGGCGUCAAACCCUAAAAAGUUAGACAUGUAGACUGCCAAGAGCUGCAUUUUAAUUGGUAUUAGUGGUAGCACUAACUGAACAUGUAGAUCAGAUAACAUAUGAUGGCAAACAUAUAUUGUCCAACAAGUUCCACCUCUAAUCCUCACAAUUACAUACAGGGACAAAAUACUUUGCCAUACUAUGAGGUGCCGUAUCGAGA